CGGUCGAACAUUGUAAUCGAUAGGUAGACUAAGUAUUGUAAGAGAAAUCUAGUAUUUGUUAAUUUAUCCGAUCUCGUAUGGAUUUCUUGGCCCUUGAAGUGCGGGCCUACUAAUAUCGGUUUAAUGGAUGCCGCCAUAAAUUGUGCUUUUCAUUGUCUUGUGAAUCGUAGGAGGGCACACUGCGGUAAGAUUAAGUUAGUUUGAAAUGUAUGAGGCUGAUUUGAAUUGUUAACAGAAUAAAACGAUCGCCCCGAUCGCACCAAUCGAGCGCCACCAGGCGCACGCCGCCCUUAAAGUUCACCCUCUCUUCGGACCUACGCGUGUGGGGUAGUCGUUAACAAGGCAACUCCAUAUGAUGCAAGACAACUCCUUUUAUUCGCAGUCCUAGGGAGACUGUAAGGGCAACUUGCGCUGGAGGACGGCUUGACGACCAGCUAGAGAGUUGCCAGGAGCAAUUCCCGUACCAGUAGAGGAGUCGCAGGCAGCGACAUAGACGGGCGCAGACAGCGCCGAACACUGGGUACGGAAGGAGUCGCAGGCCGCGUCAGUUAAGGAGACCGCAGACAGCGGUCAGGAGGCGCAAGGAGCGCCAAGCACGGGGUCCGCAGACAGCGGGCCAGAAGACGCAAGGAGCGUCAAGCAUCGCCUGCCGCAGCCAGCGGCCAGAAGGCACAGGUGCCGCCAUUUUGGAGAGCGCUGAGGCAGCGCCGUAUUUGGACCUGUUAGGAUGCAGCAUUCCCCGAAGAGGAGCUCGCGGCUGAGAGGAGGGGAAGCCACCCCUACAGCAGCGCGAGCGGAUCAGCAGCCAGUGAGUAGUGGAGCAGAAAACCGGCCGCGAGUGAACAUAACCUCGGCGGCGGCCAUUUCUAGCCCAGCCACUACGGUGACUACAGUAGCGUCCCAACCGAGGAGUACUGCUGUCACAGCUGCGGGAUCAGAGCCGGAGACGAACCAGUCCCUCACGUCGGACCUUUUGAAAAGGAUUGCGGCGUUGGAGGAGGAGCUAAAGCAGGUUAAAGCCCUGAACAGUGUGAGCACCGCCAAUUGCGCGCCAAUCGCAGUUGGCCCAAGCGCAGAUGGCGCCAUCAGUGGAGCGUCGGGGCGGCCGCCAUCUUGGAGCGGACCGCCAUUAGCCACAUCUAACGGUGAGGCCUCAACUAACGGGGUCGGGCCGGUCCCACAUAGCGGUGUCGGUGCGAGUAGUGCGGCCUGCACGCUGCCGCCAUCUUGGAGUGGACCGCCAUUGCUAACGACUAGCAAUCAUUUUGUGGAGCCACUGUGUGCUACAAGUGUUGCGCAGACAGCGCAUGGAUUCGUGCUACCGGGCGGGAGCACCCACAACGUGGCAACAGCAUCGCCAUUUGUUGGGUCCUACGCCCCGAUAACGCCGAAUGAAUCCCAAAGAGUGUACGGGCCAAGGAAGCUUCCGGACCUGCCUGUAUUUGGAGGGCAGCCCGAGGAGUGGCCGAUCUUUAACUGUGCGUUUGUGGAGACGACCCAAGCAUACAACUGCAAAGACUUGGAGAACAACCAGAGGUUGUUGAAGGAGCUGAAGGAUGAAGCACGCGAGACAGUGAAGUCGCUGCUGAUUCACCCUGGGAACGUCAGCGCCGUGAUGGAGCAGCUGCGCUUUAGGUUCGGCCGACCGGAGCAGCUUAUACGCAGCCAGCUGAACAGCGUGCGAGAGGUGCCGCCGAUUUCGGAGCAGCACCUGGCGAGGAUCGUUCCCUUCGCAACCCGAGUGAGUAACCUCACGGCCUUCUUGCAGUCAGCGAAGGCGGAGCAGCACCUGCGGAACCCAACGCUAAUGGAGGAGCUUGUGGCAAAGCUUCCUACGAGCAAGCGAGUAGACUGGGCCAGGCACGCUGCAUCGAUCGAGCCCUUUCCCACUGUGGCGCACUUCAGCGUGUGGCUGCAGGAGUACGCAAACGUCGUGUGUACGGUUUUGGACGUCGAGGGAAAGGAGCCGAGGCGUCGAGUUCUACAUGCGAGCGUCGACCAGAACGGAUGCGAUCAACAGGAUGAUCGGCAUGGAAAUUGUCCAAUUUGUGGAGGGCAACAUGCUGCGACGAGCUGCAGGGAGUUCAUUGGAGCUUCGCCACCGGGUAGGUGGAGCAUGGUGAGGAGGCAUCGGCUCUGCUUCACAUGCUUACGGAGUGGACAUACGACCAGAACCUGCGAUGUACAUGGCGAGUGCCAGAUCAACGGAUGCCGCAGAUUGCAUCACCGUCUGCUACAUGGUGCGGACGAGGAGCGAAGAUGGCCGGCGCAGCGAGGUGGCUUCAGGAGCCACAACGGAGGAAACCAGCAGUCAGCAGUUUCCAGACGCGGCCCGGGCAGGAGGUCUUCGCCACGAGGUGGUUACAGGGACCACGAGGGGAGCCUACAGUCGGCUGUCCCCAGAAACAGCCUGGAGAUAAGGGCCCCGCAGCCAGCGGAGGCACCCGUGCAGAGGAACUUAAACUGCGUUGACGCCGAAGGAGGCCGACUUUUGUUCCGUAUACUGCCAGUAACGCUGUACGGAGCUGGUCGCCAGGUGGAUACAUACGCGCUCUUGGAUGAAGGAUCCUCCGUCACGAUGAUCGAUGACGAGCUACGGAGGGAUCUGGGAGUGCGAGGCGUGCAUCGACAGCUGAAUUUACAAUGGUUUGGAGGAAGGGCCAGCAGAGAGCCCAGCAACGUGGUGAGCCUAGAGAUAAGUGGAGCUGGGAAGUCCACUCGCCACGUUUUGAGGAACGUGUACUCCGUUUCGAGCCUGAGUCUGCCAAUGCAGACGUUAGGUCGACGAGAUGUCCAGGGCGUGCAUAAGGAUGCGCGUCUGCCGAUGAAGCCCUACAUCAACGUGGUGCCUAAGUUGCUCAUCGGACUGGACCAUGGACAUUUGGGAUUGCCACUUAGGACGAGGCGGUUUGCCAGAGAGGGACCGUAUGCGGCCGCAACCGAGCUUGGAUGGGUUGUGUUUGGGCCAGUAAGUGGGCAAUCGACUACGCCGUCACCGAGGUCCUGCCUUCUAGCCGUGUCAAUGGAUGAUACGAUGGAAAAGAUGGUGGAGGACUACUUCGAGAUGGAAAGCUUUGGUGUGAAGCUCGCGCCACAGGUCGCAGGCAGCGAUGACGCGCGGGCACAAAGGAUCCUCGAAGAUACCACGGUGAAAGUGGGGCGUCGCUACCAGACGGGAUUACUCUGGAAGGACGACUACGCUGUGCUGCCACGGAGCUAUGAGAUGGCGCACAGACGGCUGAUCAAUGUGGAGAAGAAGUUGAAGCGCAACGGGCAGUUGGCGCUGGAAUACGAUCGUAUCAUCAAGGAUUACGUAUCCAAAGGAUAUGCGAGGAAGCUGCAGCAGGAUGAGGUCGCGGUGACGAGCGACCGGCUAUGGUAUUUGCCACAUUUUGGUGUCGAAAACCCGAACAAGCCCGGUAAGGUCCGGCUUGUGUUCGAUGCUGCAGCCAAGGUUGGAGGAACCUCGCUAAAUUCGGCGCUGGACAAGGGGCCUCAGCAUUACAAGCCCUUGCCAGCCGUGCUCUUCCACUUCAGGGAAGGAGCAGUCGGAGUCUGCGGUGACAUCAAGGAGAUGUUCCACCAAGUGCUGAUCCGACCCGAGGAUCGAUGUUCCCAACGAUUCCUUUGGAGGGAUGGCAACGACGAUCGAGACCCGGAUGUGUACGAGAUGAACGUAAUGACCUUUGGAGCAGCCUGCUCGCCGAGCGCUGCGCAUUACGUAAAGACGGUAAAUGCCCUGAAGUUUCGGGAUUCAGACCCGAGGGCAGUCAAGGCCAUCAUCGACUACCACUACGUCGAUGACUAUGUGGACAGUUUCGCUACAGAGAGCGAAGCUAUAAGUGUAUCUACCCGAGUGAAGGAGAUACAUGCGGAGGCUGGAUUCGAGUUAUGCCAGUUUUCAUCCAGCUCACCCAUCGUGGAAGCGGCGUUGGGACCACCCGGACAAGUCAAGAGCGUCGGAUGGGGUGAGGCUGAGCAGAAGAUCCUUGGAAUGCGCUGGCAGGUAGCCACGGACGACUUCAGAUUCAACGUGGAGUAUCACCGAGUGCCAAGUAGCGUUCUAAGUGGAGAUCGAGUCCCUACAAAGAGGGAGUAUUUGAGCCUGCUGAUGUCAACGUUCGACCCAUUGGGAUUCCUGUGCUGCCUGAUGAUUACAGCGAAGCUGUUGUUGAGAGAGAUCUGGAGGCAGAAGAUCCAGUGGGACGAACCACUACCGGAGGAGAUAGGCAGAGCCUUUGCGGCCUGGCGCAGGGAGAUGGAUGCAUUCGCGGCGGUGGCCUAUUGGAGGGUCACGUACGAGGAUGACAACGUGAUGGUUAGCUUCGUGUGCGCAAAGACGAAGUGCGCGCCGAUGAGAACGAUGUCGAUCCCAAGGUUGGAGCUGCAGGCAGCGGUUCUUGGAACCAGACUGAUGAACACUGUCCAGGAGGAGCACAGUGUGGACAUCAGCGAGACGGUGUUGUGGACGGACUCAAAGACGGUGCUGAGAUGGAUCGGCAGCACCCACCGCCGGUACAAGCAGUUUGUUGGCAACCGAGUGGCGGAGAUUUUGGAGUCGUCGAAGGUUUCCCAUUGGAGGUGGGUACCUACAGCUGACAACGCAGCGGAUGAUGCGACGCGGUCGCAGAAUAAGGCGGACCUUAGCCCGGAAUCACGUUGGUUAAGCGGACCCGCAUUUUUGAGGCAGCCAGCGAGCGGCUGGCCGGCGCCUGAGGAGGGAACUAAGCGUGUUCCAGAUGCGCCUGAUGAAGAGGAGAUGCCCGGUGAGUUUGCAUUGGUGGCCGCGGAUGAAUUUGCCAUUCCGUUCCAGAGAUUCUCGAGCUUCAGUCGCCUGGUGAGGACCACAGCAUGGGUCUUCAGGUUUGCGCGUUGGUGUCGCAAGCAGAGAAGCGAGAUCGAGGAGUACGGACUCACUGCAUCGGAGUGUGAGGCCGCGGAGAACCUGUUAGUCAGACAGGCCCAGUUGGAGUCGUUCCCCGACGAGAUGAGGUCGGCGGAAUGCGGAAAGGACGUCGCCAGCUCGAGUGAGAUUCGAGGUCUGGCGCCUUACGUGGAUGAACAUGGAGUUCUGCGAGUUUAUGGCAGAGUUGAUGCCGCGCUGUGCAUGCCGUACAGUGCGAGGAGGCCCGUAAUACUGUCACACAGGCACAGUCUUACGGAAUUGAUUGUGAGGCACUUUCAUGACCAGAUGAAGCAUCAAAACGUGGAUGCGACGAUUGCUCAGAUUCGGACGAGAUUCUGGGUCACGAAGAUGAGACGAGUGCUGAAGGAAGUAAUCUCGUCGUGCAACGAGUGCAAGUUGCAGCGAACGCGGCCGAUGCCGCCGAUAAUGGGACCCCUACCAGAGGAUCGACUGGAAGCGGGAGGAUGGCCAUUCAAGUACACCGGAUUGGACUACUUUGGGCCACUGCUGGUGACUGUAUCCCGUCACAGAGAGAAGCGUUGGGUCGCCUUGUUCACAUGCUUGACGACAAGGGCGAUUCAUCUGGAGUUGGCUCAUGACCUGUCGACAGAUUCCUGCAUAAUAGCGAUCAGGAACUUCGUCUGCCGUAGAGGACCAGUACAUAGACUGCGGAGUGAUAACGGCAAGAACUUCGUGGGAGCUGACAGGGAGGCCAAGCGAUUUGGAGACGUGUUCGAGACGGAGAGGAUACAGAGUGAGUUGUCCAGCACAAGCAUUGAAUGGGAUUUCAAUUGCCCAUCGAACCCGUCUGAGGGCGGAGUAUGGGAGCGGAUGGUGCAGUGCGUCAAACGAGUGCUGCGCCAUACCCUGAAGGAAGUUGCGCCGAGGGAUCAUGUGUUGGAGAGUUUCCUGAUCGAGGCGGAGAAUGUAGUCAACUCGCGUCCGCUCACCCACUUGCCGGUGGAUGCGGACCAAGAGGCGCCGUUGACGCCAAAUGAUCUGCUCAAGGGAGCAGCUAACCUGCCGAAUACGCCUGGAUUGGAUGCGGAGCUGCCCAAGGAGGGUUCUACGCGAAAGCAGUGGAGGAUUGCUCGCAUGCUGCGAGACCGUUUCUGGAGGAGGUGGGUCCUGGAGUACCUGCCUACGCUUGUGCGCCGCGAGAAGUGGUGCCGGAGAACGGAGCCCAUCCGCCAGGGCGAUAUGGUCUUCGUCUGCGAUCCUGCCUUGCCCAGACGAGAGUGGCGCAAGGGAAUCGUGGAGGAGGUCUACAGCGGAGCUGAUGGAGUCGUCAGACGCGCUACUGUGCGCGUGAACGACAAUGGCCUAUCUCGGACAAUGUUGCGGCCCGUCUCAAAACUUGCAGUUUUGGAUUUGAGUGAAGCGGUUCUUCACGGGGUCGGGGAUGUCGACGGUCGAACAUUGUAAUCGAUAGGUAGACUAAGUAUUGUAAGAGAAAUCUAGUAUUUGUUAAUUUAUCCGAUCUCGUAUGGAUUUCUUGGCCCUUGAAGUGCGGGCCUACUAAUAUCGGUUUAAUGGAUGCCGCCAUAAAUUGUGCUUUUCAUUGUCUUGUGAAUCGUAGGAGGGCACACUGCGAAUAAAACGAUCGCCCCGAUCGCACCAAUCGAGCGCCACCAGGCGCACGCCGCCCUUAAAGUUCACCC